rnacentral:rRNA from 1 species
AGGAUGAACGCUGGCGGUCUGCUUAACACAUGCAAGUCGAACGGAGUACCUCGGUACUUAGUGGCGGACGGGUGAGUAACGCGUGAGAAUCUGCCCUUAGGUCGGGGACAACCAUUGGAAACGAUGGCUAAUACCGGAUAAGCCGAGAGGUAAAAGAUUAAUUGCCUAGGGAAGAGCUCGCGUCUGAUUAGCUAGUUGGUGAGGUAAAGGCUCACCAAGGCAUCGAUCAGUAGCUGGUCUGAGAGGAUGAUCAGCCACACUGGGACUGAGACACGGCCCAGACUCCUACGGGAGGCAGCAGUGGGGAAUUUUCCGCAAUGGGCGAAAGCCUGACGGAGCAAGACCGCGUGAGGGAGGAAGGCUCUUGGGUUGUAAACCUCCUUUCUUGGGAAGAACAAAAUGACGGUACCCAAGGAAUCAGCAUCGGCUAACUCCGUGCCAGCAGCCGC